rnacentral:lncRNA from 1 species
AAAAAAAGUGCUGCUUCACCAAGAAAAUGCACCUUUGGGCUUCGAAUUGCUUCUUCAUCCACCAUAUUCCCCAUAUCUGGCCCCCCAGUGACUAUUUCCUAUUCUCAGAUCUCAAAAGAAUGCUCGCAGGGAAGAAAUUUUCGUCGAAUGAAGAGGUGAUCGCCGAAACUGAGGACUAUUUUGAAGCAAAGGACAAAUCGUACUACAAAAAUGGCCCAUGAUAUGGCGUCACUUAGGCUUAUGAUGCAAUCUGUGACGUUAGUGAAAACAAGGGGCCGCCGGAAUCAGUUUUAUAAAAAUGACGUCACGCAUUAAUGACACUAUAAUCACGCAACUUUUGAUUUGUUUUCAAAGUGGGAGUUAAUAUGAGAGAUAAUUAAACAGUAAUCUCUAUGGGGAUAAUUUCCCACCUACUUUGCUCCGAGGCUUAUUAUUGUAACUUUUUGUUAAUUAAUUUUAAUCAAUUCAUAAAUUUCUGCACUCAAAAGAGAGAAAAAUAUAUA